rnacentral:lncRNA from 1 species
GGCGGAGUUCAGGCACGACUGCUCGGACUCAGAAGUCAAAGAGCUGUUCCGAGCGGCGGCCGAGGUGGGACCUCAGCACAUCCUGAAGCUCUUCAGCUCAGACGGACGACUCUUAAAGAUCUCUCCAUCGCUUCAGCAAAACGACAGGAAGUCCGUGUACACGCUGCAGCUCGCCUCCGACUGCGUGGCCGCGCCCCCGCAGCUGGUUGCCAUGGAGACGAGGCUGCACCACCUGGAGCGCCGCGUGAUGGAGCUGAGCCAGAGUCCGGAGCCGCUGAAGGACCUGGACCGACAGGUGGAGGGCUUCAAGAGGAAACUGCAGAGUGUGGGUCACCUGAGCUGGGUGGGGAUGUUCAGAGACGACUCAGAGAAAUCCAUCCCCAAAUCCAGACCCAAACUGACCAAUAAAGGUGAGUCUAUGAGAUCAUAUCGGAAUCUCUGUGUGGAAGUUCA